UAAAAAAAAAUGUGGGGUUUAGCUUUGAAAAUUUUUAUACUACUAAACGCUGAUAUUGUAUCUGCCAAAUACUUUCUCAAUUCAUCAAAAGUAACAUGGAAGGAUGCACAGAAACUCUGCAAUGUUUAUUCUAUCGGCAACAUCAUGCACACGAAGAGAGAUUUAACUGAGUUACCCGAAAUCUUUACCGCAUGGACUUCGUCACGGAAUCUAAAAUCAGAUUGGACAUCUUUUUAUGGUUGCUUGGACGUAUCAGUUAAUAUGGUUACAAUUAACGAUACAAAACGAACUUUAAACCAAUAUUUUCCAGACAGUACACACGCCGUUGAAUCCGAAAGCGUAUUCAAGUGUGCAUAUUUUUGUACCACAAAAGGCAAUGUUUUCACG